UUGAACGCUGGCGGCAUGCUUUACACAUGCCAGUCGCACGGUAACAGGCCGCAAGGUGCUGACGAGUGGCGAACGGGUGAGUAAUGCAUCGGAACGUGCCCAGUCGUGGGGGAUAACUACUCGAAAGAGUAGCUAAUACCGCAUACGAUCUAUGGAUGAAAGCGGGGGACCGUAAGGCCUCGCGCGAUUGGAGCGGCCGAUGUCAGAUUAGGUAGUUGGUGGGGUAAAGGCUCACCAAGCCAACGAUCUGUAGCUGGUCUGAGAGGACGACCAGCCACACUGGGACUGAGACACGGCCCAGACUCCUACGGGAGGCAGCAGUGGGGAAUUUUGGACAAUGGGCGCAAGCCUGAUCCAGCAAUGCCGCGUGCAGGAAGAAGGCCUUCGGGUUGUAAACUGCUUUUGUACGGAACGAAACGGCUCUGGUUAAUACCCGGGGCUAAUGACGGUACCGUAAGAAUAAGCACCGGCUAACUACGUG
rnacentral:rRNA from 1 species